GGAAGGGCUCUAUUAUCCUAACUGAAGGUGACCUGAAAAUAGAAAAAAAAAACCUAUCUGGUCAUUUUUGCUUCUUAAUGAUAUGCACACAAAUCCCGGAAGUUUCGCGUUUUUAUUUAUUUGCUAAUCUACUUGUUUUUAAAAGAUUGGGAAACACGUGACUGAAGAACUACAAGACAAUGAGGACAGCGCAAGAGCCAAGAAAGUGAAAGGCAGUUGUGACAAGUCCUAGCAGCUUCCUCUUCUUGGACACCCAGAUGGCAUCCAGCCACAAUCAACACAGACCAUCUCAUCCAGCCUGUGGAACGUGUCCCAUGAAAUAACUCAUAUGCAGAUAUGAAAGGAGGUCAGUUGUCUCCUGUGCACUCCACCAUGCCCUCAGCUCACACUACAGGCAGCCUGUCUCAGUUUCCCUCUUGGACUAUUCAAAUAAAACUUCACCUGGGCCCUUUUCUUUUUUGAUCAAAAAUAUGCUGCCUUGAGGCCUAGGUUUAUUAAUAUAAAAUAAACUCCAGAUAAAACUCAAAAUCCCAGAACAAAGUGCACACAAAACAAAGGUUUCUCUUCCUGCUCCCAGGCCUUCCUCACUGGGAGCUUUUCUGCUUUGGAAGACCACUCCCACACCCUACGGGGCUGGAGUCUCAGUCCUGUUUCCCAGGACUCUCUACUUGAGCCCCCUCACUGAUCUCGGAGGGCUUGUACACACUACCGCUUUAUGUUGGUAUAACGUAUGUCGCUCAGGGCUGUGAAUAAGCCACCCU